AGUUCACAGCCGCACACUUUCUUGUUCCUCUCUAUGGCCAGGUGUCACAACUCUCAGGGUAACUGUACUUGCAAACAACACAGGGUCAUUCCAACUGAAUCUCUGCUCUUUAGCAAUGCUGUUUUUAUUCAUCUGGAAAUGAAGAAUUCACAUACCUUUAUUCAGGAAGGAGCAACAAUCACUGUCUUGGUUUUUUCCUUUUUUUUUUUUUCUGUUUUUUUGAGAAAUGGGAAAUGGAAAAUGGCUGAUCCUGCAAGAUGCUCAGUGUUUCUUACUGAAUGCCUUCAGGCCUCUCUGCUGUGGAAGGGAACUGGCCCUUUGAAGACCAUGUGCGAGACUGGACAGCCUCUUACCAGACUGUUGCAAAGCAGCUGGAAGGGAAUUCAAAGAAAUGCAAUGCUAGUGACUGCUGAGAGGACUGACUUAUGAGAAAAGAUUAAAAAUACUUUGAUUACAUCUGGACCCUGUGGAUUGUAAUGAGAUCUUCCUAUCAAGCAGGCAGAAAAGAAGAAAUUGUGAUAUUAGCUACUAGAUAAGAGUCAGUUCCUCAUUUGAAUAGGCCUUCUCCAGUGUGUAGGGGCAAUCUCUUGGGAAGAGCUUGGCUUUCAUCUAAUGGCUUUUAGCCUACCUUGAACACUUUUUUUUAACCUAAUUCUAAUUGGCAGGUUAAGGAGUCAUGCUCUUUUAAUCUUUGUGUUUAUUAUUAUUUCUAGUGAUUAGGUGAUGGUCUCAAACAAUGAACAAGCACCAGGUACAGAAUACUGGGAGAAAAAUCGCAGUGCAGAUGGGUAUAAAAAAGAGAAAGGGAAUGAUGCUCCGAAAUCAACAAUUGACAAUGAAUAUGAGCUGAAAGCGCUUCUCCCAGACCUGCCUACGUGAGCUGUUUAUUUGCACAAAAGCCUGAGCCCCCCCUUCAGUUGCAUAUUCAGUGCUGCACUAUAUCUCACUGAGUUUGCUUC
rnacentral:lncRNA from 1 species